rnacentral:rRNA from 1 species
AAGCCUGACGGAUCACGCCGCGUGAGUGAUGAAGGUUUUCGGAUCGUAAAGCUCUGUUGCCAGGGAAGAACGUCGGGUAGAGUAACUGCUAUCCGAGUGACGGUACCUGAGAAGAAAGCCCCGGCUAACUACGUGCCAGCAGCCGCGGUAAUUAAAUAGGGGGCAAGCGUUGUCCGGAAUUAUUGGGCGUAAAGCGCGCGCAGGC